UGGUUAUUUUGCUAAUAUCCUAUUUCUGGCAAUUAAACUACUAUGUCUCCUUUGGGAAAUCACGAGGGUGGGUAUGUGCCCCAUCUGCUUAUGCAGAGGGUGGAGGACCAGGCAGAAUCGGGAGGUCUGAGCUGGCCUCCCUCUGCACCCCGCCCCAGGCACCUGCCUCCUCUCCAGCUUAUCUCCCCCAUCCCCUUCCCAGGUUGCCAUUGACAACCUGCCAUUCUCAGAGCAUGCUUCUGAGCUGCCAAGUCUUCACACCUGCUGGCUCCUCCACCUGAAUGCCCUUCUCUCCAUCCUCUUCCUGGAAACCCCAACUGAUGCAGGAUACAGUUCAGUCAUCACCUCCUUCAUCCAGUCUUCUCUACUUCUUUGUCUUAACAUUGAAAUGGCCAGCAUGUUCUUCUACCUGCCCGCUAGACAUGCAGGCCUAAGGUCCCGGGAGGCAGAUGCCGACAGAUGCAUCUCAGUAUGCCUGGCACCUCCACCCCACAGGGGCUGUGCUGGUUGCUGUUGGAAUGCUGCAGGGCACAAAACGGAUAAUGCUGGAGGGAGAAGACAGACAGCAAACACAAGGCUCAAGAAACUCUAGUAUGUAAGAAGAGGACACACAUGAUGGAAGAGGGAAGCCGCCAUGCAGAGUGCCUGGUGCACUUUUAAAUGGGAGAGUCAAGGGAUCAUCCCGGCAGCUAUGUAGAGCAUUACUAUAUGGGUCAAGUACCGCAGCAGGGACAGCAAUUAGUAGGCUACUGCAAGAGUCCAGAUGAGGAAACUGAGGCUUGGAGUCUCAUUAAGCGACCUAACCAAAAGUUACCCAAGGGAAAAUUGGCUGGUGGAGAUUUGAAUCCUGGUCUCCUGCCUUCCUUUAGACACUUGGGGUGCUCCCGAGUCUGCAUUUGGAGAAGGGAAUAGCAUUAAGGUAUCAGCUGAAGCUUCUCAGCUUGAAAUUCUAGUCCUCUUCCAGAGGCCAGAUGUUAGGCUGGUGUCAUGGGGCUCUCUGCUGAGUCCUAGGCUGGGAACAGAGAGGGAAGGGACUCUGUUACCAAAUCCCAGACCGGGCACUCCCAGGGAGUCCCUUCCUCCCCACCUGCCUGGCAUCUGGCCUCCGCCAGCUCCUGCCUGGCUGCCAGAUGUACCAGCUGUGGCUCCUCUCCACGGAGAGUCUCAUUUAUUAAUUAACGUGGACGCCAAGGGGGCAACUUCUCAGACCCAGCCUCAGAGCAGAUCUUGGCACAUUUUUCAGACUUUGUUUAAUAAUUUAUCAUCUUUUAAUCAUAAAAAUAAUUAGCACAAGAGCGAUAAUCUGUGCUCUGCUGAGAGCAGACCAACGGAGGAAUUUUCAGACAGUUCCAGAACCCAGAAAGCAGAGCUUUGGCAGCGAGGAGAGGAAGGUUGGCUCCAGGCCAGGUGUCCUCUCCAGGACUGGUCCCUGGGAGUCAGAUGUCAAAGAUGCCGUCUGGCUUUUGGGGGAACUCGAGGACCAUGCUGCUUUCCCAGGAAUUUGAGGCUCCUGCUCCUAACUUUGACCUGGCUCACUGGAUAGCUCUCUGGGAAGUUCCUUCUCUCUCUGGGUCUUAAUUUUCCCACCUGUAAAAUGGGAGUUCAAUUAGACAAUGAGCAAGGACACUUUUGUUUAAGGCGCCAUGAUCCAAUGAGAUAGCAAAUGAGAAGCAGUGGCUGUGGCAGUAAAGACAGUGAGCUGGAGUGCCCAUGAGAGCCAUGAAGCCUUCCGCAGUCCCCGCCGCCUCCCACCCCCGUCGGCUUCUGCAUCCCCAGGUGCUCAAAGAGCCCUGGGACAGACUCAGUUCCAUCAGGUAUAAGCCAUGUGGCCUGGGGCAAGUCCAUCCCCUCUGUGAGCCUGAGUUUACUCAGCUGAAAAGAAAGAGUGAUCGCUCACAGCUCUCCCAGAGAAGAUCCAAGGGAGAGGAUGAUGGGGUUGCCCCUUGGAGACAUUGAUCUCAUUCUGCCCCACAUUUAACUGCCACUCCCCGUCCAGACUUUGGGUUCUAGAGGGCGGGGCAGGACUGCCUCAUCCUCUGUGCCUAAUAGCCCUGGUAGUGACCAAAUGAACUAAAUGUCCUGCCAAUUCCAGCAACCUGUCUUGAGAUUGUUCGACCUGUACAGGCAGACACAUCCUCCUCACAGGGUGGCAGCAAGGUCCAGUGACUCUGGAUAAAACCACAGUAGUUCAAGAAAGCGACUCCUCCUCUUCUUGUGGGGUCUUGUGCAAGCUGCUUUGCCUCCAGCUGCCUCAGCCUCUUCAUGUGAAAUUGGGGAUAUCUGUCUCAGAUUGGAGGUCCCCAGAAGCAGACCCAGAGACAAGAAUUCAAGAUCAAGUCAUUUAUUUAAGAAGAGAUCCUGGAAGCUCCAAUAGGGAGUGAAGAGGUGAGACUGGGAAGGGGAGGAGAGCAACGAAAGGCGGGUGAAUUAGCUGGUGACCACGCUGGACCCAGGCCCACUGGGGCCAUCUCAAGGGUUGGCAAACUACAGCCCACAGGCCAAAUCAGGCCUGCCUCCUGAUUUUGUAAAUAAAGUUUUAUUGGAACACA